UACGUAGGGUGCGAGCGUUAAUCGGAAUUACUGGGCGUAAAGCGUGCGCAGGCGGUUCGUCGUGUCCGAUGUGAAAGCCCCGGGCUCAACCUGGGAAUGGCAUUGGAAACUGGCGGGCUUGAGUGUGGCAGAGGGGGGGUGGAAUUCCGCGUGUAGCAGUGAAAUGCGUAGAGAUGCGGAGGAACACCGAUGGCGAAGGCAGCCCCCUGGGCUACUCCUGACACUGAUGUACGAAAGCGUGGGGAGCGAACAGG
rnacentral:rRNA from 1 species